rnacentral:tRNA from 1 species
GUCACUUUGGCGGAGUGGUUAACGCGCUGCCCUGCUAAUUUACAGUUAGUGGUAGGCAGUUCCCUCGGGAGCGUAGGUUCGAAUCCUACAGGUGACG